rnacentral:lncRNA from 1 species
AACGGGGCCUGUUCUCUCGCACCCCGUGUCCGGGGUCUCCGUGCUGCCCACCCCGCACUGCGACUGUCCCCAAUGCAGGCCAACCUCGGGCAACGCUGGGGAGUCCGAGGCAGGUCCCUUCGCCGCCUCCUGCCUCAGUUGCCUCAUCUGUGGAAUUGGAAGGGAGCAGACGCCUUCCUAAGGCUGUUGGGAGGACUGAACGAGUUAAUACGAUAAAAGUAUCCGGCGUGUCACAAGCAUGCCCCAUGACUGCACAAUGCUGAACCUGCUGACCCAGGUGACAGCCGGCCAGGCUGAGACCCCGCCCCUCCCAGGCUCACGGAGACAGGCCUGUGUCCUAAGCGCCGCAGAUCCGGGCAAGGCGCUCCUGAGAGCUGUGGUUAGACGGCUGGGUGGUUUGGGACAGAAACCACCAACUUCCUCUGAAGUUUUCCAAGCUUUCCCCAUCCGGGAAAAGCGGCCCUGGAUGCUGCCCUUGUAAACCCACCCUGUGCAGCAGAGACUUGUAUCUGUGGUCUGCUCUCCCUCGGUGGGCUUUGCUCCACAAAGGGCUCUCUCUUUUCUUUUUUUUUUUUUCCUUUUCUUUUCUUUUUUCCUCUUUUCUUUUCUCUCGAGACAGGGUUUCUCUGUGUAGCCCUGGCUGUCCUGGGACUCGCCGUGUAGACCAUGCUGGCCUCUAACUCAGAUGUCUGCCUUCCUCUGCCUCCUGAGAGUGCUGGGAUUAAAGGCGUGCGCCACCCCCCACCCAGCUUCACAGGGAGCUUUUCUAGUCCUGGCUCCAGGUUUUUCUUUGACUUUGCCUUCGGCUCUCCGGAACCAUGCAGCAAUAUAAAGUGCAUUUGUAGAGCUAUGUAUAGUCUUUACUCAGUUCCAGAAUCAGGCGGAUCUGUUGUGAUGUCGCCAAACACCUCGCUCUGCAGAGACAGCCCUACAGCCACGCUGGGAGAGGAACAAAACGAGUCCAGGUGGAGCCCAGGCGCACACUCCCUCCUUGCUCGGACAACGGAUUCUGGUUGGGAGGUGAGGAAAGCCACCCAGCCUGCGGAUCUGGAAUCCGAGCGAGGCAGCCUCCAGGUGGCGUGGGCCCGGACCUUCUCGGAGGCUCCCUGGUUGACUCCUUGUAGAUACUUGUGGGUCAGAAUGCUUUAUUUCAGCCUCCCCUGCUUUACCUGUUCCCAAGUCACAGGGCCCAGGAUUCACUCGGUCAGGCUGCUAG